GCUAACGUAGCUUAAACAUCUCAAAAAGCAAGACACUGAAAAUGUCUAGAUGGACUUACUAGUCCCGUUAACA
rnacentral:tRNA from 2 species